CCAUACCACAUUGUUACACCGGUUCUCGUCCGAUGACGGAAGUUGAGCAUUUUUAAGUCUGGUCAGUACCUAGAUGGUUGACCGCUUCGGAAUACCAGUUGCUGUAAGC